CAUGUCAAGUCGAACGGCAGCACGGGGUCAACCCUGGUGGCGAGUGGCGAACGGGUGAGUAAUAUAUCGGAACGUACCCUGGAGUGGGGGAUAACGUAGCGAAAGUUACGCUAAUACCGCAUACGAUCUAAGGAUGAAAGUGGGGGCUUCGCAAGAACCUCAUGCUCCUGGAGCGGCCGAUAUCUGAUUAGCUAGUUGGUAGGGUAAAAGCCUACCAAGGCAUCGAUCAGUAGCUGGUCUGAGAGGACGACCAGCCACACUGGAACUGAGACACGGUCCAGACUCCUACGGGAGGCAGCAGUGGGGAAUUUUGGACAAUGGGCGCAAGCCUGAUCCAGCAAUGCCGCGUGAGUGAAGAAGGCCUUCGGGUUGUAAAGCUCUUUUGUCAGGGAAGAAACGGUGAAGGCUAAUAUCCUUUGCUAAUGACGGUACCUGAAGAAUAAGCACCGGCUAACUACGUGCCAGCAGCCGCGGUAAUACGUAGGGUGCAAGCGUUAAUCGGAAUUACUGGGCGUAAAGCGUGCGCAGGCGGUUUUGUAAGUUUGUCGUGAAAGCCCCGGGCCCAACCUGGGAAUUGCGAUGAAGACUGCAAGGCUUGAAUCUGGCAGAGGGGGGUAGAAUUCCACGUGUAGCAGUGAAAUGCGUAGAGAUGUGGAGGAACACCGAUGGCGAAGGCAGCCCCCUGGGUCAAGAUUGACGCUCAUGCACGAAAGCGUGGGGAGCAAACAGGAUUAGAUACCCUGGUAGUCCACGCCCUAAACGAUGUCUACUAGUUGUCGGGUUUUAAUUAACUUGGUAACGCAGCUAACGCGUGAAGUAGACCGCCUGGGGAGUACGGUCGCAAGAUUAAAACUCAAAGGAAUUGACGGGGANCCCCCCCAGCGGUGGAUGAUGUGGAUUAAUUCNAUGCAACNCGAAAAACCUUACCUACCCUUGACAUGUACGGAAGGCCGAAANAUUUGCUGUGCUC
rnacentral:rRNA from 1 species